CCUACGGGAGGCAGCAGUGGGGGAUAUUGCACAAUGGAGGAAACUCUGAUGCAGCGACGCCGCGUGAGGGAAGACGGUCUUCGGAUUGUAAACCUCUGUCUUUGGGGAAGAAAAUGACGGUACUCAUAGAGGAAGCCCCGGCUAACUACGUGCCAGCAGCCGCGGUAAUACGUGGGGAGCGAGGGUUGUCCGGAUUAAUGGGUGAAAAGGGAGCGUAGGCGGGCGAGAAAGGUGAAGGUUAAAUCUACCGGCUUAACUGGUACCUGCGUUCAAAACUUCUUGUCUUGAGGGAAGUAGAGGCAGGCGGAAUUCCUGGUGUAGCGGUGAAAUGCGGAGAUAUUAGGAGGAACACCAGUGGCGAAGGCGGCCUGCUGGGCUUUAACUGACGCUGAGGCUCGAAAGCGUGGGGAGCAAACAGGAUUAGAUACCCGGGUAGUC
rnacentral:rRNA from 1 species